GUAGUUGGUGGGGUAAAGGCUCACCAAGCCAACGAUCUGUAGCUGGUCUGAGAGGACGACCAGCCACACUGGAACUGAGACACGGUCCAGACUCCUACGGGAGGCAGCAGUGGGGAAUUUUGGACAAUGGACGCAAGUCUGAUCCAGCCAUUCCGCGUGCAGGAUGAAGGCCCUCGGGUUGUAAACUGCUUUUGUACAGAACGAAAAGGCUCUUCCUAAUACGAGGGGCUCAUGACGGUACUGUAAGAAUAAGCACCGGCUAACUACGUGCCAGCAGCCGCGGUAAUACGUA
rnacentral:rRNA from 1 species